UGUCUCUCCUCAUCUCCCUCAGUUCUUUUUUUUUUUUAUUUCCUUCUAUCAGUGUUAUAUACGUGUAACUUCAUAACACCACACACCAUUCCUCUCGCGUCUCCCUCGGAACAUGGCGUUUCAGCAAUCGACAGCAUGAAAGUGCAGAAUCGGACGAGCCCGCUUUUUCGAAGGUCGCCGAGAUAUUUUUUAAUGUUUACACGACACCCUGUAUACAUUUAAUACAUUUAAAAUUCGAUUCUGAAUGAAAUUUAAUUCCGUGUGUUUGCAACACAUUUUCAAUUGUAUAAAAACGACCUUUAGUUCGGCGAUUAAUCGAUUUUUAAUAAAAACUUGUAAGACUUAAUUGAAGAUUCUUGUCAGAUUCUCGCGGCAAACGGUAAACGGCACCUAUUGAGUGUUAAACUUAUUCGUCGAAGUAGCUCGACUCGCUCGAUUCUCGCAUCCAAAUCGUCAAACGGAUCGCAUUCUACGGGGGGGAGAGGAGCCAACACGAUACUCGGCUGACUUCUUCCUGCAGAAUCCGAUUUCAAUUAACGCCGUCCAUUACGUACGUGCGAAACGCACGGAGGAUCGUUCCCGACGCCGUCGGACGUAUAUCGCGAUUUCUCCCCUUUUUUAGUUCACCAUUUGUGCCGCUUCUCGUGUUGCACACGACGGGGAAAGCUUAAUUGGAUAAACGGUAUCCGGACGCAAAAAGGUUUCGACGGCACCCAGCUUCUGCUUGCUCGCGAGGAUCGAGGAAAAAAAAUAUUUUACCUUUUGAAUAUUUUAUUUCUCUAUUCGAAGAGAAUAUUAAAUACUCUGCAUUUCCAUUCGCAUAUAAACGUUUUUCGCAAGGCAACGUCUUUAUUUUUGUGAAUUUUAAAUCUUCCCUUUUAAAUAUUUUAAACGCUCAAGCGUUCUUCCGUGGGGUGUCGAGCUUUUUACCGCGCGAAAGAAAAGCUCGCGGAGUAUCGACAAAAUCGCGGAUCCCAUCGAGACCCAACGGGUUUUCGGGGGACGGGGGAGGCCGAUCCCGAAACCGUGACAGUGCGACGAGAACGAUCCUCGAGCUUGAAAGUCGUCCCGACCGCCAUACGCAUGAAUUCCUCGCGGACAUUUCACAUACCGCGGAAUCCGAAUAGAUGUACUCGCUCCCGGAACACGAGACGGAGCGUAGGAAGUACGUAUACAUAUGCGAAAGUGCGUGAUAAUUUGGACCACCCGACGAAACGUAUGUAUAAACAUCCGGUACAGCGGGAAAUUUAUACAUGAACGUGCACAUCGUGAUAAACCCAUAUUCAAAAUAUGACGAUACCGUCGCAGUUUACAAGGGUAUCAAAUGAAUUUAACACGGUAAAGCAGCCUCGCGCAAGCACCAUCGUGGAAUAUCAAUUCGGGCUGGCAGCACACACAUUCCUCGAAUUGCGGACUACGUACACGCGGGCUGCGUUAUGCAUUAACGCUGAAUGAAAUGCAAAAUGCAUUUGUAUUAGCGAUCACAAUUGUAUCUCGCUCUGAGGGCCUAGCGCCUUUUGCGGGGGUACACUCGAAAGGAAAAAGAAGUUUGGGUUACAAUAAACGAGCGCUUUGGCGGAAAUGUAAUAAUUUCAAUUAAAUCCGUCCGACCGAUGUAUAUAACUAAAUAUUUAGUAUUAAUUAGCAAUUAAUAAUUACCAAACACAAUAGGUGUAAUCGGUUGCUAAAUACUACUAAAUGUUUCGCUAUAUUAAUGGAAUAUUUAAUGGGAAACUUUCUGUUUUCUCCGAAGCUUAUCAACCUGUCAUUUCAUUGUUAUCGUCAAACUUUCUUCCAGUGUACGUGACGCGCAUUUUAGCUUCGUUUUGUUGCAUUAUCCGUGAAAAAAAAAAA